rnacentral:rRNA from 1 species
GGCCCGCACAAGCGGUGGAGUAUGUGGUUUAAUUCGACGCAACGCGCAGAACCUUACCCAGGCUUGACAUCCUCGGAACCUGUUGGAAACAACGGGGUGCCUCCUCACGGAGGAGCCGAGUGACAGGUGCUGCAUGGCUGUCGUCAGCUCGUGUCGUGAGAUGUUCGGUUAAGUCCGGCAACGAGCGCAACCCCUGUCGUUAGUUGCCAUCAAUUCGGUUGGGCACUCUAGCGAGACUCCCGGUGUUAAGCCGGCGGAAGAUGGGGAUGACGUCAAGUCCUCAUGGCCCUUAUGUCUGGGGCUACACACGUACUACAAUGGCAACUACAGAGGGCAGCAAGACCGCGAGGUGGAGCCAAUCCCAAAAAGUUGCCUCAGUUCGGAUUGGAGUCUGCAACUCGACUCCAUGAAGUUGGAAUCGCUAGUAAUCGC